rnacentral:rRNA from 1 species
GAUGAACGCUGGCGGCGUGCCUAAUACAUGCAAGUCGAGCGAACAGACGAGGAGCUUGCUCCUCUGACGUUAGCGGCGGGCGGGUGAGUAACACGUGGAUAACCUACCUAUAAGACUGGGAUAACUUCGGGAAACCGGAGCUAAUACCGGAUAAUAUAUUGAACCGCAUGGUUCAAUAGUGAAAGACGGUUUUGCUGUCACUUAUAGAUGGAUCCGCGCCGCAUUAGCUAGUUGGUAAGGUAACGGCUUACCAAGGCAACGAUGCGUAGCCGACCUGAGAGGGUGAUCGGCCACACUGGAACUGAGACACGGUCCAGACUCCUACGGGAGGCAGCAGUAGGGAAUCUUCCGCAAUGGGCGAAAGCCUGACGGAGCAACGCCGCGUGAGUGAUGAAGGUCUUCGGAUCGUAAAACUCUGUUAUUAGGGAAGAACAAAUGUGUAAGUAAAUAUGCACGUCUUGACGGUACCUAAUCAGAAAGCCACGGCUAACUACGUG